UGAUUUGAAGACAUACCCUACACAAGUGGU
rnacentral:piRNA from 3 species